rnacentral:rRNA from 1 species
CCAUGCAAGUCGAGCGGUAGCACAGAGAGCUUGCUCUCGGGUGACGAGCGGCGGACGGGUGAGUAAUGUCUGGGAAACUGCCUGAUGGAGGGGGAUAACUACUGGAAACGGUAGCUAAUACCGCAUAAUGUCGCAAGACCAAAGUGGGGGACCUUCGGGCCUCAUGCCAUCAGAUGUGCCCAGAUGGGAUUAGCUAGUAGGUGGGGUAACGGCUCACCUAGGCGACGAUCCCUAGCUGGUCUGAGAGGAUGACCAGCCACACUGGAACUGAGACACGGUCCAGACUCCUACGGGAGGCAGCAGUGGGGAAUAUUGCACAAUGGGCGCAAGCCUGAUGCAGCCAUGCCGCGUGUGUGAAGAAGGCCUUCGGGUUGUAAAGCACUUUCAGCGGGGAGGAAGGCGGUGAGGUUAAUAACCUCAUCGAUUGACGUUACCCGCAGAAGAAGCACCGGCUAACUCCGUGCCAGCAGCCGCGGUAAUACGGAGGGUGCAAGCGUUAAUCGGAAUUACUGGGCGUAAAGCGCACGCAGGCGGUCUGUCAAGUCGGAUGUGAAAUCCCCGGGCUCAACCUGGGAACUGCAUUCGAAACUGGCAGGCUAGAGUCUUGUAGAGGGGGGUAGAAUUCCAGGUGUAGCGGUGAAAUGCGUAGAGAUCUGGAGGAAUACCGGUGGCGAAGGCGGCCCCCUGGACAAAGACUGACGCUCAGGUGCGAAAGCGUGGGGAGCAAACAGGAUUAGAUACCCUGGUAGUCCACGCCGUAAACGAUGUCGAUUUGGAGGUUGUGCCCUUGAGGCGUGGCUUCCGGAGCUAACGCGUUAAAUCGACCGCCUGGGGAGUACGGCCGCAAGGUUAAAACUCAAAUGAAUUGACGGGGGCCCGCACAAGCGGUGGAGCAUGUGGUUUAAUUCGAUGCAACGCGAAGAACCUUACCUGGUCUUGACAUCCACAGAACUUAGCAGAGAUGCUUUGGUGCCUUCGGGAACUGUGAGACAGGUGCUGCAUGGCUGUCGUCAGCUCGUGUUGUGAAAUGUUGGGUUAAGUCCCGCAACGAGCGCAACCCUUAUCCUUUGUUGCCAGCGGUUCGGCCGGGAACUCAAAGGAGACUGCCAGUGAUAAACUGGAGGAAGGUGGGGAUGACGUCAAGUCAUCAUGGCCCUUACGACCAGGGCUACACACGUGCUACAAUGGCAUAUACAAAGAGAAGCGACCUCGCGAGAGCAAGCGGACCUCAUAAAGUAUGUCGUAGUCCGGAUUGGAGUCUGCAACUCGACUCCAUGAAGUCGGAAUCGCUAGUAAUCGUAGAUCAGAAUGCUACGGUGAAUACGUUCCCGGGCCUUGUACACACCGCCCGUCACACCAUGGGAGUGGGUUGCAAAAGAAGUAGGUAGCUUAACCUUCGGGAGGGCGCUACCACUUUUGA